UUUUUAAUAUAUUUUUGCUCCACGCGAGAAAGAUGCGUACGUGCGCGGAAUAUAUUAAGCACGGUUCCUUAUUUCCGACUUCUCGUGCUGAUCAGUUUGAUAUAUUAUACGGUUUUUUUCGACAUCGUAUGCAAAAGUUAUAGCCGUUUUACUUUUUCAUAACACUUUUUUGCAAAACAUGUCAAAAUUUAUGUUUUUGAAUUUUCCUAACUAAUAGAUGUAGUAACAUAAAUACAUCUCGAAGGAUUUUAAUUUUUGAAGUUUUUAUCAUUUUCUUUUCUUUUUUUCAAAACUAAAAUGGCGAUAGGGGGGGCAGCAUAAUGGACGAAGGCGGGGGUAACAUGUCGGAUGCGAUCAUACCAGCACUAAAGCACCGGAUCCCAUCAGAACUUCAAAGUUAAGCGUGCUUGGGCGAGAGUAGUACUAGGAUUGAUCCCAUCAGAACUCCGAAGUUAAGCGUGCUUGGGCGAGAGUAGUACUAGGAUGGGUGACCUCCUGGGAAGUCCUCGUGUUGCAUUCCC
rnacentral:rRNA from 1 species